rnacentral:rRNA from 1 species
AUUGAACGCUGGCGGCAGGCCUAACACAUGCAAGUCGAGCGAGCGGCGGACGGGUGAGUAAUGUCUGGGAAACUGCCUGAUGGAGGGGGAUAACUACUGGAAACGGUAGCUAAUACCGCAUACCAUCAGAUGUGCCCAGGUGGGAUUAGCUAGUAGGUGGGGUAACGGCUCACCUAGGCGACGAUCCCUAGCUGGUCUGGUAGGAUGACCAGCCACACUCGAACUGAGCCACGGUCCAGACUACUAUGGGAGGCAGAAGUGGGGAAUAUUGCACAAUGGGCGAAAGCCUGAUGCAGCCAUGCCGCGUGUGUGAAGAAGGCCUUCGUGUUGUAAAGCACUUUCAGCGGGGAGUAGUUACCCGCAGAAGAAGCACCGGCUAACUCCGUGCCAGCAGCCGCGGUAAUAC